UUUAGUGGUGACUCAUAGUAACUGAUCGAAUCGCACGGGCUUGCCCGCGAUAAAUCAUUCAAGUUUCUGCCCCAUCAGCUGUAGAUGGUAGUGUAUUGGACUACCAUGGCUUUCACGGGUAACGGAGGAUUAGGGUUCGAUUCCGGAAAGGGAGCCUGAGAAACGGCUACCACAUCUAAGGAAGGCAGCAGGCGCGUAAAUUACCCAAUACUGAUUCAGUGAGGUAGUG
rnacentral:rRNA from 1 species